UUGUAUGUGUAUUAUUUUAGUUGUGAAUUCUUUUGUAAACUUGAAGAUAUGUUAAUCAAAAGAAUUCAGUAUAUAUUUUCAUGUUUUCCGAAAGUACUUGACAUUAUCGAAUUUAUUGAUACAACAUACCAAUAAAAAUUUUAAACCAUUCUACUCAGAUCGCGUAAUAAUCCUAAUCCCUGGCCUCCCAAUCAUUGCUCUGAUCCCAUCGAACCGUCUUUCUCCUCCGAAAAUCCCAUGUUCCAAAUAUCCUGUAAGAUUACAUGUCGCCCCAAUCUUAUCAUAAUGAUAGAGAUCCGAUCGAUUCC
rnacentral:lncRNA from 1 species